CAGCUCUGCCAGGCAGCCCUUCUCAGCUGUGCUCCACUGAAUCACCCCUUUCCUAUGAUGUCACAGGCAGAUUAUUCCACGACUUUCUGACGCUACCCAACUGAUAGUAAACUGGCUUCCAGACACAUAGCGUUUACAUCACUACAUGGAUUCUACCAACGAAUGAUACUUCCAGACACCCUGUGACCCCAAUCUUUGGAGCUUUUGGUGCCGGGUACAUCUCCUGAAUCGCCAGCCUGCUGUGCUCCUGCUUGGUCAGCAGGGGAAGCACACCGCUGACACUACAUGGACAACCAAAGUCCCCACGUCAUUUGACAGGUGAAGUUUAAGGGAUUUUUCUCAACAGACAUUAAGGCCUAGACACAGAAGGGCCACUUCAGAGGAUGUGUGUUUCCUUUAAUGAAAUGGUUUAAAUAGUAGAAAAGGAAUGAUAGGUUGUUAUGUAGUAACAAUAAAAUUUUUUUGAGCACGUUU